CCUACGGGUGGCUGCAGUGAGGAAUAUUGGUCAAUGGGCGCAAGCCUGAACCAGCCAAGUCGCGUGAGGGAUGACGGUACAGCGUAUCGUAAACCUCUUUUGUCGGGGAGCAAAGGCGGCGACUUGUGCCCGGAUGAGGGUUCCCGAAGAAAAAGCAUCCGCUAACUCCGUGCCAGCAGCCGCGGUAAUUCGGGGGAUGCGAGCGUUAUCCGGGUUUAUUGGGUUUAAAGGGUGCGUAGGCGGAAUGUUAAGUCAGCGGUAAAAGGUCGGUGCUCAACACCGGCCAGCCGUUGAAACUGGUGUGCUGGAGUUAGAGAGAAGUACGCGGAAUGCGCGGUGUAGCGGUGAAAUGCAUAGAUAUCACGCAGAACCCCGAUUGCGAAGGCAGCAUACCGGCUCCAAACUGACGCUGAGGCACGAAAGCGUGGGUAUCGAACAGGAUUAGAUACCCGUGUAGUC
rnacentral:rRNA from 1 species